rnacentral:rRNA from 1 species
AGAGUUUGAUCCUGGCUCAGGGUGAACGCUGGCGGCGCGCUUAAUGCAUGCAAGUCGCGCGUGCCCGCGGCUUCGGCCACAAUGGGAAAGCGGCAGACGGCUGAGUAACGCGUGAGUAACCUACCCUCUGGUGGGGUAUAGCCGCGAGAAAUCGCGAUUAAUCCCGCAUAAGAUCUCCAGGCCCUGGUUUGGGGAUGAAAGCCUUCGGGCGCCGGAGGAGGGGCUCGCGUCCUAUCAGGUAGUUGGUGGGGCAAAAGCCUACCAAGCCGAUGACGGGUAGCUGGUCUGAGAGGACGACCAGCCAGAGGGGGACUGAGACACGGCCCCCACUCCUACGGGAGGCAGCAGCAGGGAAUCUUGGGCAAUGGGCGAAAGCCUGACCCAGCGACGUCGCGUGGAGGAAGAAGGCUCUAGGGCUGUAAACUCCUUUUCCAGGGGGAAGA